CAGACGGUGCACGCAUGCACACGGCCACGGGCUCGCAUGGUCUCCAAAUUUAUGAACGCGACUGUACAUUCCAUAACGAGCUGUCAGUUGCGUGUCAGUGCCGCUCUGCACGUCGUGCUGCAAAUAAAUCCCGAAGAAAUACUCGAAGGCAAAUUCGACAAACUCGGUUUAGCAUUUGCCAGUGCCCGUCAGCACAAGCCUUUCGUUGAUACAAGCUUAAUGAUUAACAAGACAAGACGCCUCUUGAAUACUUCUGACCAAGAAGACCAGCUGUAGGCGACGAAGCUGACCAACCUUGUCGCAAGAGACGCCGGCCUUCUAUAUCAAACGAACGGAGCGGCGGACGUAAGGGCAUUUUCAUCUGCCAAGACUUCCGCAAGGUCCUUUACGGGGGCUCCAGCAAAACGAAGGAGACCUCCAUUGCUUGUCCAAGCGGCGAAAGCUAACGGUACAAAGAACGUGUGUAGUGCAUUUGUGAACGGUGCCCGAACAGGGGACACUGUUGUGAAGCGAACUGAGCACAGAAUGUAUGGCGAAGCAAGGGUGAAAUCCACGAACGCGGUCUUCGAAGUGGCAGCCCUUCAAUCCCUGCCCUAGACUCAAUGAUGAGCGCUGGUACCAAAUCCACAUGACGUGGCCCCAAAAUUGGGUUCUAAAUAUUGACGGCCACACAUGUCUUCACUGAUUUGGAAGCGACAAAUCCCUUUCCCCGCACGUUUUUCCUCCGGUUAUAUAACUGACUAGAGUAUUUAAAUUACUGCCAUUUUUAAAAACCGACAUUACGUGAAGGCUAUGAGCUACUGUAUUUAAAACUAAAGGGUCCUCAAUGCCACAGCGACCUUUCUAGUCCACGAAAAUUUAAUUCAGUGCGUUCAGGUUCGUGUCCUUAAACUUUCUCCUGAGAGUUCUUAUGAUAUUUCUGAGGUGUUUCUUGUGAAACGAACUUGAUCACUUUAUCUGUAUGUUGCUGCAGUUAUGUUUCAUAAAUUUUGAUUUUUGCCCAUGA